rnacentral:rRNA from 1 species
CCUACGGGUGGCAGCAGUGAGGAAUAUUGGUCAAUGGGAGAGAUCCUGAACCAGCCAAGCCGCGUGAGGGAAGACGGCCCUAUGGGUUGUAAACCUCUUUUGUCGGAGAACAAAACCCGGGACGUGUCCCGGACUGCGUGUAUCCGAAGAAAAAGCAUCGGCUAACUCCGUGCCAGCAGCCGCGGUAAUACGGAGGAUGCGAGCGUUAUCCGGAUUUACUGGGUGUAAAGGGAGCGUAGACGGCAGCGCAAGUCUGGAGUGAAAUCCCAUGGCUUAACCAUGGAACUGCUUUGGAAACUGUGCAGCUGGAGUGCAGGAGAGGUAAGCGGAAUUCCUAGUGUAGCGGUGAAAUGCGUAGAUAUUAGGAGGAACACCAGUGGCGAAGGCGGCUUACUGGACUGUAACUGACGUUGAGGCUCGAAAGCGUGGGGAGCAAACAGGAUUAGAUACCCGGGUAGUC